UCCUUUUUCUGUUUCUUCUUCUGUUUCCUUUCGUUCCUUUUCUUUUUUCUCUCUUUUUCCAUUUGUUUAUGUUCGUCACUUGUGUUUCUUUGAUUGUGUCGUUGAUUCCGAAAGAGGGGUAUGAAAGAAAACAAAUAAGGCUCAAAGAGGGUGAUAAAAAGGUAAAGUGUUUAGAUAGCAGAACAAAAUACCUUCGUCAUCUCAAACUUCAAAAUAUGCCAAAUACAAACAAGUGCAAUCAGAAUAAAGAAACCAUACACAUCAUCUCUUGACCGUAUCGGAAUUGACGGCCAUUUCCACACAAUUUUUUCUACAUCCGUCAAAUAUAAUGUGCCAUUAGGCAACACUCUUACUCUUAUUAGCACGACCGGCCCCCUGUAAAUUUGGCCAACUUGCUUUUACGGGGAUUGUUUAUGUUCUAUUUGACCCAGUUUCACAUGGUUAGGGCGCCAAACAAUCUCAAAACGUCCAAAUCUAUUCUUAUUUCCUCAAAUGCUCUCAUCGUCUUCAAAAUGGUUUCAUUACUUCCCGACAAAUGUAGCUUUUAAAGAUCAGACUGAGAAGUAUGCAUGCAUGUCAUGUCACUAGAACCAGCAAAAGACAAAACGAUAAGAUAGAAAAGAACUAAAGAAAGAGAAAUUAUUGGAAGUGACAAAAGAUCGUAAUUUGCAUUAGACAAACGAUGAGAUAGUUCGAAUAACAAAACAAACAAAACAAACUAGUGUAGAACCCUAGAAUGAACUGAAACAAACAUGGACAACACUAAACAAAUCACAACAACAAAAUAAGCUAGACAAAAAUGAAAGGAUAAGAGGGUUUGAUCACAAGAUAAUAUGCGGAUUACUACCCUGCAAAUAACCCGGACAACAGAAAUGACAACAAAAUGGACCACCAAAGCUCCUCCCCGGCUGACCUAGGAAUGGAGCGUCUUUCCAAUCACCAACAUUAGGAACUUUACAAACUUUCAUUACAUCAUCCUCAACAAGUUAUUUUUGGGUCUAUGAGGCUCUCAAAGAAUUCUCAUAUUCCUUUUCAAAACAAAUCAUGCCCACCAUGUCUACCUCAUUAUGCGCAUGCGAUGGAUUUUUUCCUGGUGUCCGGUGCAUCCAGAUUUUGUACGAUGAUGUUACCUGCGUUAAUAAGCUCUUGAACUUCUUUCUUCAGCUUCCAGCACUUUUCCAUGUCAUGCCCCGGAGCAUCUAAGCAAUAUGCACACUUUAGAGAAACAUCACAUUUUAAAGGGUUUGGCAUUUUUAUUUGAAUCGGCUUUAGCAUGCCUACUUGCUUCAACUUCUGGAACAAACUGACAUAUGAUUCUCCAAUACGGGUGAAAGCCUUUUCUCAUUUCAGCAACCUCUCGUUCCUAAACGCCUGAUCUGGCCUAAAAUCUGACUUAGGGAGUUUCUGGUCUACUCGCGUGGGGUGGAUAGGCAUUUUGUGGAGCUGGGUACUUGGCAAGUGAAGUAUGUAUAUGGGAGUACCGUGGAGAGAAGUAACAUUGGGGAGCGCCAUCCAGUGCAUGAGGAUAUUCAUGGGGUACUAUGUCGAGGUUGGAAAUGUUGAUCAGGAGAGCCCUUUGGAUCAUCUUUUCUGUUUCUCUCUCCUUUCCGAGCUUAUCGCGAUGUCCUGAAUGUCUUUUGAGCAACUCAUGAUUUUUCCCGACUUGAUUCCCUUUUCCACUAGCUCCCCCAUUUUUAACACAUCAUCGAAAGGUCUGCCCACGGACGGGAUAAAAUGAUUGAAGUAGGUGGGCCCCUAGGCCUGUAUGAAAUUUUCAACCAUCUCUUCUUCAUCAAUCAGGGUAUUGAUUCGAGCAGCUUGCUCCCUCCAUCUGAGCCCAAACUCUCUAAUGCUUUCCCAUGGCUUCUUUUCCAUUCUAGAUAGGGAGGAAUGGCCCACGGAUGGUUCUUUCAGCUUCCUGAAUUCCCUGUUUGUCCCUUCUCUUUCUGUGAACCUUCCAUUUUCAAAACGAGGCUUAUCUUGUGGGCAUUGUUCGUCCAAGUUGGGACCCUUAUGAGUGACCUAGGAGGGGUAAUAUUGGGCAUCACGAGCUCUGGUUAAGUGUUCUUUGUCGAGCAUAGUGGAUGUGACCGGAAGGCACCUUUGGGAAAAGAUAGUUGGAUGAUGAGUGAUGAAGCUACUAGAGUGGUUCGGAAAACUGUUAUAAGCGGGUAGAGAUGGGAAUAUGGAGGAUCAUCCGACAUUGUGUUCGGUAUUUGUGUAAGGACAGAAUCCAGGAAGCUAGCGGUGGCGGGGGUGGUGCUUUCCAAACAUCCACGCCCGAUACAUGUCUCCCACAUGCUAUCUCAGCAUUUUCACCUCUUCCACCAACCCGUUGACCUAUUCAACCGGCUGUUUUUAGGCAUUGGUACCAACUCACUCAGUUCUGUUAUUCUCCGCCAUUGUCUUUCGCCUUUGUGCUGCAAAGGAGAGUUAUCUUAAAACGACAAACCAACCACCUUUCUGAAAUGACAUGCCGAAAUGAAACCAUCAUGUUAGCGUUAGGGCAUUUAACUCAUUGAUAAUCUCACAUUUGGGGAAUGCAUGCACCUAAGCAGUUGACAAUCCCUAUUAUGCAUUUGCUAUCGCAUGCAUCAUCCCGGCCUUUUCUCGUUUUUGAUUGCAAACUCUCCUAUUUUCCUUUCUCUCUUUUUCUUUCUUUCUUCUCUUGUUUUCUUUCUUUCUUCUCUCAUUUUCUCCAUUUAUUUCUUUCUUUUCUUGGUUGUCCAUUUUUUUCUUUCCACUUUUGGUUUUUGCCUUAUUUUCUUUCUUCUAUCUUUUCCUUGUCUUUCCGUUCUUUUUCUUUUUCUCUUUUUUAUUUGGUUAUGAUCGAAUUCUAUGUCGAUUGCCAACGUAUCAUGGCCCCGCAUGAAUCAGACCGAGCGUAGUUCUUGCAAAUAAAAGAUAAACAACAAUAAAAUAUUUUUGAAAUUUUUCGAUUAUCAUGAUAAAAACAAAACCUACAAACUUAACGAUGAAGUACAAACUCGAAAAUCAAACGACCCAUACACCCUAAUCAAAAUAAAUACAAACCCAAAACAAAAUGACAAAUUCCUUCCUCUGUAUGCCAAUUUUGAACAAAUGGUUAUUUUUGCAAACGUGACCCAUUCUUAAUUUCACAUGAAUUUUGAGGCCGAGGAGGACAAUUUUAACAUAUCACAAACUUGACUGUUCUUUUACGAAAACAACCUUUCGACAGCUGAAAGAUACUCUAAGGCUAUAUCGACAAGAACAGUUUUAAGACACUACCGAAGCUGGCUCGCCUUAUUUUGACUAAAAAUUCAAAUGGCAUUCACUGGCCCACUAGCACUUUUCUUGUUUUUUUAAAUUAAAAUAAAAGACCCGAUUUUGCAAACACGACCUUUCAGCACCUUGGGGACGAAGAUUUUAAGGUUGCAUUUAGCUAAUCGGCCAAAACCUUGAAAGAUGACCAAAGGUGGCUAUUCUCGCAAAUGCAACCUUCCGGUGCCCUUUUAGGGACAUUCGGCUAUUUCUGAUAAAAAUGGCUUCACCUUUCUAUUCAUGCCAAAAUUUAGAACUUAGAUAUUUUUUGGCUAUUUUUGCAAAGGCGAGGUUGGGCCCGAUGAAGGUUGCCUAUGUAUCUGACAUCCGGUGAGAACCAAACCUGCGUAGUUCGGACAAAUUAACCGAACUAUUUUAAAACUAAACUCUUUUCCUUUUAUCUUUUUCAUGGCAUGACAAACUAUUUUUCCUUUUCCAUUUUUUUGAAAACAAGACAAACUAAAGACUCUUUUUUUUUUCUUUUUCAUUUUCAACAAACAAUAAACAACCUAUUUUUCCCAAACUAAAAUAAAACUCUUUUUCCAUUUUCUCAAAGUUUCUGCAGAGUUUCGACAGUAUUUUGGCAUUGAUUCUUCUAAAACUAAGCAAUUAACUCUCUACACUGCUAUUUCUCUCUUUUUCUCUUUUUCUCAAUUUGACAGUAUUCUUGAUAUUCAAAAGUCAGUCAGCGUGCAGGUCCGAGACAAAUAAAUGCACGGAAAACAAGUAGGAUGCAUUAGGGUGAUCUUUUCAUUUCAGGUUGCUAGUCCUAGACGAACCCAACCCCUGUGUUGAGUCCCCUAAAUCAAUUGCAACAUGAUGCAAAUAAGCGUUCCUACUAGGGAUCCGGCAUGAAGUCACGUUAUUCUAGGUUCAAAACCUGGGUAUGUGUUAUAGAUUGUGUACCCGAGGGGACAACUCGAGUUGAGAAAGGGGCAACUUACCGAGAACCAAAAGGCCAUCCAGCUUCAUAACUUGUCUAGCCUCUUUCUUAUUACUGGAUAUGACACUAACAGAAUAGAGAGUCUUAACCAGUAAGCACAUCCCCGGAGGUGAGAAGAGAAGGGUGUCAAACAGUUUAUAAACAAUUCAGAUAAUAUCAAAGCGGUAACAUUUAGCGCAUUCAGCACAAAACAUGUAAGAAAAUCAGAUAUAACCAAAUACAAUAAUUUAUCUAAUCUCGAAUUCUGAACCCUGAAAAAACUAUUCUGGGUUCUUUUCCCCAGCAGAGUCGCCAGAGCUGUCAUACCUCAUUUUUACCACACCCUCAAGGGCGUAAAAGAGUUUUUCCAAUUAAAGGACAAUCGGAAAGGGAUUUAAUUAUUAAAGUUCAUAGUCGCCACUUGGGAGAUUAAUAGUGUCCCAAGUCACAGAGUAAAUCCCGAACCGAGGAAAAUUAUGACUCUGUUAACAGUACGCGAAUCAGAAAUCCGAGUAAGGAAUUAUAUUAACCCUGAAGAAGGUGUUAGGCAUUUCCGGAUUCCGUGGUUCUAGCAAGGUCCCUUAACUGUUGUAUUUGAUUUUAUCUAAUUUUUAAAACAUGUUCUAUCUUAUGCGCUUUUAGUUAUAAACUGCUUUUAUAUUUAUUUUUAAUGGGAAUUGCAACAUCGUAAAAAUACAUCUCGAACCACGUCACAUCAAUGCGUCCGUGGUUGUCGACACAUUUCGACUUUAUUGAGAUUUGGAUUUGGGUCGCAUCAAUACGCACCCAAAUUUAAGAAUGUAAUUUUAUUAAAAUCGUACUUAAAGAGUCUAACAUAUUAUGCUUUUGGGGAAGGUCGUGAAAUUCGCUAAACGGCUCUCCCGAAUUCUAAGUAUUUUUAGUAUAAAUAUUUAUUAAGGGCCCCAUAAUUUAUUUGUUUUGUUCGGCAAGACUUGUCUCAUUUUUAUUUUUUUAAGCAAAUCCUAAAGAGACUAUGAUUUUCUAUAUUCUUUGUCUGUAAUAAAAUCAAAAUCCAUAUUAAUGGACUGACGAGUGGUUUAUUAGCAAAAGUAACAAAUGGCCCUCAAUAUCAUCUCCUAGGAAAAAAAACUAUUUGGGCCCAAUGCAGGCACAAGGCAAGCCCAGACGGACGCCAGUGCCUCAACUCAACAUCGAACCCCCACAAAGGAGACACAAAUAUGCAAUUACGGGAAAUAUUCUAGGCAGCUAUGCCAUAUCGAGCUCAUAUAACUUAUAACAAGCCAUAAUCCUAAAUUAAUUGGGCAAUUUGAUGGUACUGCACCCUUAAACAAUUUACUAAUCAAUGCAAUGACUAAUCUUUGAUUUUAAAAACAUACUGCAAAAUAGGAAAUUAAAUUACGAAAUGGCUAAAAGUCCCAACAGUCAAAUUAAUAGUGCAUAUUAAGAUCAACUAACCAUUGGCCUACAAUUAUUAGCUUCAUUUCGAAAAGAAAAAUAAAUGCUAAACCAAACUGAUAUCGACUAUAUGAGAAGCUAUUGCUAGAUGAUCAACAGUUUGCACAACUCAAUAGGCCGAGUGAGUACACAUAGAGAUAUGCUAGAACUCUGCAUUAUAAUAUCAACACAAGCUAAGCCAAACUAAAUUGCUACACACAUGGAUUACAUCUAAUUAAUCUAACAUUAUACUACUUAACAAUCCAGUCCAGAAUUAUUACAGAGUUUAAUCACAAUAAACAAGCAAAUGUGGCAGGGCCAUUAAAAUCACAAAGCCACAGUGCCAAAUUAUCCUUAAUUUCAUUUCAUAUCUCAACAGAUGAAGCUACAUCAAUGGAGUCUCGAGAUGUGUACCUGAAUGUCGAAAUACAAGAAGAAUAAGAAGAAGAUCAGCUAUAAUAGCAGAUUCCAGCAGAAUAAUUUGCUAACAGCAGGAAACACAGCAAGUUCAACCCAGAAACGAGUUCAACAAUCGAAGGAUAAUUCCAAACCAAACAGAAGCCAACAAAACAGUCGCAAUUAGCUUGAACAAAACCCAAGUGACUUCGAAUUCAAACCCAGAAAUACCUCUGAAACCUCAUCAACUAAAACAAACCAAAAUAGCUUGAAUACAUUCAAAAAACAGCUUGAAAUUGAACUCAAGAUCAGCUAUAAUAGCAGAUUCCAGCGGAAUAAUUUGCUAACAGCAGGAAACACAGCAAGUUCAACCCAGAAACGAGUUCAACAAUCGAAGGAUAAUUCCAAACCAAACAGAAGCCAACAAAACAGUCGCAAUUAGCUUGAACAAAACCCAAGUGACUUCGAAUUCAAACCCAGAAAUACCUCUGAAACCUCAUCAACUAAAACAAACCAAAAUAGCUUGAAUACAUUCAAAAAACAGCUUGAAAUUGAACUCAAGGUCACCAAGAACUCAGAUUUUUAACUGACAGUGCAGAAAUUCCAAUGUAAUAGUGUAUUUUUGUAGUUUUUUUGUAUUGUUUCUAUUUUUUUUGGUUUCUGAAGAUUUGGAGUUUUGAAAUUCAAAUUUCAGCUGGGAAGACUUAGAGAAUACUCUAGAGGAAUUUUCAGAUCUGUGUGCUUGAAGGGAGUUUUGGGGAGGGAAUUUUGGGCUCCCAAAACUUGUUCAUUAAGGCAUUGGUGUUGCCCUUUUAUAGGCAAAGAUGAGGGCAACCCUCAAUUUUCUGUUUACAAAUCAGUCCCUUAUUUAUUUUCACAAUAGUCCUCUACUUAAUGACCUGCUUCUCAAGUAAGUGCACCUAUUUUCUGAAUUUAGAGUAAAAGUUAUAUUCUAGAAGGUUCUAGUGAAUUCCAAUCAGUUUUAAAAGAUUCCCUUAUCCCUGAAUUGCCCCACUUACUCCUACUUUAUUCAAAGAUUUACUAAACUAAUCCAAAUGAAUUCAGCCUCCUUUUACCCAAGUUAAGCCUAUCCACUGUAGCCAACUUCAUCAGAUUAACAACUAAGUGAACUGAGCAUUACCGAAUGUCCAAACUAACUAAACCGAAUGAUCUACAACCAAUUGAUAACAACCAAAAGGGGUACUAAGAUCAGAUUUAAGUUUAAAUAAAUUCAAACAAGAUUGACUAAAGCAGAACAAACAAGAAAAAUAAUCUAGUAUUCAAACUAUUAGAUUCCCAAAUCUACAAACGACUCUAACCUACGAAUUGC
rnacentral:lncRNA from 1 species